rnacentral:rRNA from 1 species
GGGGAAUAUUGGACAAUGGGGGCAACCCUGAUCCAGCCAUGCCGCGUGUGUGAAGAAGGCUUUCGGGUUGUAAAGCACUUUCAGCGAGGAGGAAGGCUUUCAGACUACUACUCUGGAGGAUUGACGUUACUCGCAGAAGAAGCACCGGCUAACUCCGUGCCAGCAGCCGCGGUAAUACGGAGGGUGCAAGCGUUAAUCGGAAUUACUGGGCGUAAAGCGCGCGUAGGUGGUUUGCCAAGCGAGAUGUCAAAGCCCCGGGCUUACCCUGGGAAC